UUGACCUCGGAUCAGGUAGGGAUACCCGCUGAACUUAAGCAUAUCAAUAAGCGGAGGAAAAGAAACCAACAGGGAUUGCCCCAGUAACGGCGAGUGAAGCGGCAAGAGCUCAAAUUUGAAAGCUGGCUCCUUCGGGGUCCGCAUUGUAAUUUGCAGAGGAUGCUUCGGGAGCGGCCCCCAUCUAAGUGCCCUGGAACGGGCCGUCAUAGAGGGUGAGAAUCCCGUAUGGGAUGGGGUGCCCGCGCCCGUGUGAAGCUCCUUCGACGAGUCGAGUUGUUUGGGAAUGCAGCUCUAAAUGGGUGGUAAAUUUCAUCUAAAGCUAAAUAUUGGCCGGAGACCGAUAGCGCACAAGUAGAGUGAUCGAAAGAUGAAAAGCACUUUGAAAAGAGAGUUAAAAAGCACGUGAAAUUGUUGAAAGGGAAGCGUUUGCGACCAGACUCGCCUACGGGGUUCAGCCGGCUUUCGGGCCGGUGUACUUCCCCGUGGGCGGGCCAGCGUCGGUUUGGGCGGCCGGUCAAAGGCCCUCGGAAUGUAACGCCUCUCGGGGCGUCUUAUAGCCGAGGGUGCCAUGCGGCCUGCCCGGACCGAGGAACGCGCUUCGGCUCGGACGCUGGCAUAAUGGUCGUAAACGACC
rnacentral:rRNA from 1 species